GUUGAACGCUGGCGGCAGGCUUAACACAUGCAAGUCGAGCGGGGGAAGGUAGCUUGCUACCGGACCUAGCGGCGGACGGGUGAGUAAUGCUUAGGAAUCUGCCUAUUAUUGGGGGACAACAUCUCGAAAGGGAUGCUAAUACCGCAUACGUCCUACGGGCGAAAGCAGGGGAACUUCUGACCUUGCGCUAAUAGAUGAGCCUAAGUCGGAUUAGCUAGUUGGUGGGGUAAAGGCCUACCAAGGCGACGAUCUGUAGCGGGUCUGAGAGGAGGAUGCGCCAAACCGGGGCUGAGACACGGGCCCAACUCCGACGGGAGGGAGCAAUGGGGAAUAUUGGACAAUGGGGGGAACCCUGAUCCAGCCAUGCCGGGGGUGUGAAGGAGGCCUUAUGGUUGUAAAGCACUUUAAGCGAGGAGGAGGCUACUAUAGUUAAUACCUAGGGUUCGUGGACGUUACUUGCAGAAUAAGCACCGGCUAACUCUGUGCCAGCAGCCGCCGUAA
rnacentral:rRNA from 1 species